GGGCAGCGCCGGCACCGGCAGCGCCGGCAGCCCACCGGCACCCACCCGCCCGCCGAGCUGGGCAUGGAAUAUACAAAAACACAAAGGAAAAGUGGCCGCUGGACUGUUCUGUGGGCAAAAUGCUGGAAGUUUUGGCUGGAUUAAGUGAAGGCGAAGCGUGGUCUGGAAGUCCACUGACUGACAUUGUUCCGGACCGGGGGGAUCCGUCUCUCUGAUUUUCAGAGGAACUACAGUGUAGCGGCAGCCAGCCGGACACAGUCACACGCCGGAGAGUGGCCAGCAACGAGCGGGCGAGAGAAACGAGAAAGCACAAAGACUAAACUAACCCGAGCCGCCUCCUCCUCCUCCUCCUUCCCCGGCUCUUUAUUUGCACAUUUAC